AAUGCAGAUAAUUUGUUUAAAAGGCACCAUGCACACUGGGCAGGCUGGCUUCCCCUGGGAACGUCUUCUUUUGCCUGGAUUCCCAGUUGGUUUAAUCGGGCGUAGAACACUUUCUUCAAUCCGGGAUUCAGGCACCCCUGCUCAGCACAAACUCAGUACACCCCGCACUCUGCUGUGGGUUCUUGGCACUAUUAGGAGAAUGUGAGGGGGUGAUUCAGAUCUAUCUCUAGUGGGUGCAUGUCUGCCACUCCCAGGAACGCCCACUUCUGGCAAGUCAGUGUCAGAGAAAGGCCAGCUCGUGGCCCCUCCUGCCUUGAGUCCCAGGACCCGUGAUCAGUCCUACCCGGAGCAGAAUCAGGAGUUUGAAAACCCAAGUGCCAACAAUCUCAUUUUAACCCAUGUAAGCAUAUCCAAUAUUUAUAUAUAGAAUUCAUAACAGAUGUCUGGGCUUCCAUUCCAAUAGCCUAUAUUUUACACUGUUUAUUUACAUGGUUACACCAAACAAGACUCAAUUCAAGGUAACCCAAUCCUUUGCUACUAUACCAAAAUAAGCAACAUUUUCAGUCCAUGCCUUAUAUAUAUUCACCAAGCAUUACACUAGGCCUCCAACUGCUCAUCGGAGCAAGCUGCAGCCUGGACACAAGCUAGAGAUUAAUCAGUCAGGAAUGAUCCUGCGUCCAGUGCCAGCAUGAUGGAAGAGACAGAGAAACAGAAGACAUCAGGGCUCCAGAGUCAAGGAGCCUGCAGCCCUAGAACCAGCUUCUUCGUGGACAAGCUCUGACUCCUUUGGGUGGAGAAUGGUAUUCAGAAACCCAGACCUGGGCUCUGGUGUGCUCACUGCUACUUGGGGUCAUUGCUUCUAGGCCUCUCUGCUGAUGGAGCACUUCUGCAAUCACUCACUGACUUGCAGAGUGUGAAAAAACUGAGUCACCAUCACACGUUCCAAACUGAGGUCAACUGAGGCCACAACGCCCCAUCUUCUUGCUCCGGCUGUCGAGAUAGAAAGCUCUGCAAACUCAAGCUGGAGUGGGAUACUUGCUGACAUCUUCAAGCACCCCAGGAAUAGCUCUACUCCCCCAUUUCCACCUUGGCUGAACCAUCUAUAUCCCACCAAUUCCCCCAACAUCCCUCCAUCCGUCCAUCCAUCCACCCAAGGACCUGCUAAGCCAGGAGGUCUCUCCCAUCUACCCCACAGCCUGGCCUCAGCCCACAAGGGCUCUCUCUACAUGAAUCCCACCGCACCAGAGUAGACCAAGUCUCCCGUAGACUCCACCCUGACCACCUCCAUGCCUCCAGCCAUUCCCACCCCUAAAAACCCUCCCUGGUCUCUACACCCAGCUGAUGAAUACUUGGCUGAAUGUGACCUGGCCUCCUGGACCCAGGUGAAGCCCACGUCCUCCGUAAGCCCGCCAGCUCACCCUGCCUCUGCACCUUCACUGGAGAGAGCCCGCACUUCACCUCCUCAGGGCAGGCAUGGCUGAUGCCACCCAGUGGAACCUGGUGCAGAGCAGGGCCCGGUGCAGAGCAGGGCUGCCUGCAGAGCAAGGCCCGGGUGCUGGGGCCGAGCACCUCCAAUGCUGGCCGUGGACCCAUCCCUCCCAUUCCAGGUGCUGUCUCCAUCAAGAAUGAGCGAGCUGCUGACAUUUGCAUGACAAUAAUGAAUAAAUACCAUAUUUUGCUUCAAAUCCAGAAUAGAUGUGGCCAGGGUUGGCAUAUGACUGUUGGGAAAGGACAGUUUGCCUCUUCCCAAACCAACUUGGAUUAUAAAAAGCUUUUCUUAACGACCACAAGAGCGGAGGAG
rnacentral:lncRNA from 1 species